AUUCACUUCCCGAGGGGCUCGCGGCCCAUCAGCUUGUUGGUGAGGGUAACGGCCCACCAAGGCGACAACGGGUAGCUGGUCUGAGAGGAUGGUCAGCCACACUGGAACUGAGACACGGUCCAGACACCUACGGGUGGCAGCAGUCGAGAAUCAUUCGCAAUGGGGGAAACCCUGACGAUGCGACGCCGCGUGGAGGAUGAAGGCCUUAGGGUUGUAAACUCCUGUCAAGAGGGAAUAAGCAAGUGAAGGUACCUCUAGAGGAAGGGGCGGCUAAUUCCGUGCCAGCAGCCGCGGUAACACGGAAGCCCCGAGCGUUGUUCGGAUUCAUUGGGCGUAAAGGGUGCGUAGGCGGCGCGGAAAGUCCGGCGUGAAAGGCAGGGGCUCAACCUCUGGACUGCGUUGGAUACUUCCGUGCUUGAGGACUGGAGGGGAGACUGGAAUUCACGGUGUAGCAGUGAAAUGCGUAGAUAUCGUGAGGAAGACCGGUGGCGAAGGCGAGUCUCUGGACAGAUCCUGACGCUGAGGCACGAAGGCUGGGGGAGCGAACAGGAUUAGAUACCCUGGUAGUCCCAGCAGUAAACGAUGUGAGCUUGAUGUGGGGGGAUUCGACCCCUUCCGUGUCGAAGCUAACGCGAUAAGCUCACCGCCUGAGGAGUACGGCCGCAAGGCUAAAACUCAAAGAAAUUGACGGGGACCCGCACAAGCGGUGGAGUAUGUGGCUUAAUUCGAUGCAACGCGAAGAACCUUACCUGGCCUUGACAUGCAUUGUGUCGUCGGUGAAAGCCGGCUAGUCCUGGAAACAGGACGCUUUGCACAGGUGCUGCAUGGCUGUCGUCAGCUCGUGUCGUGAGAUGUUGGGUUAAGUCCCGCAACGAGCGCAACCCUUGUGGUCAGUUACUAACCGGCUUAGCCGGAGGACUCUGGCCAGACUGCCCUGUCAAACGGGGAGGAAGGUGGGGACGACGUCAAGUCAGUAUGGCCACUUAUGGCCAGGGCUGCACACGUACUACAAUGCCCGGUACAAUGUGAACCGAAACCGCGAGGUGGAGGAAAUCGCUCUUGAAAACCGGGCCCAGUUCGGAUUGGAG
rnacentral:rRNA from 1 species